AAAGCCCCGAAAAUCAUGCUCUACUUUGGCGAGCGGACAUGAUAGUCAGGGCUAGGUACGAAACCUAAGAAGGAUUAUAACCUAUGUAUUCCUCAAAUCAACUCCUGUUCGCCAUAAGU
rnacentral:ncRNA from 1 species